GCUAAACCAUGCACCGAAGCUGCGGCAGCGACACUAUGUGUUGUUGGGUAGGGGAGCGUUCUGUAAGCCUGUGAAGGUGGCCUGUGAGGGUUGCUGGAGGUAUCAGAAGUGCGAAUGCUGACAUAAGUAACGAUAAAGCGGGUGAAAAGCCCGCUCGCCGGAAGACCAAGGGUUCCUGUCCAACGUUAAUCGGGGCAGGGUGAGUCGACCCCUAAGGCGAGGCCGAAAGGCGUAGUCGAUGGGAAACAGGUUAAUAUUCCUGUACUUGGUGUUACUGCGAAGGGGGGACGGAGAAGGCUAUGUUGGCCGGGCGACGGUUGUCCCGGUUUAAGCGUGUAGGCUGGUUUUCCAGGCAAAUCCGGAAAACCAAGGCUGAGGCGUGAUGACGAGGCACUACGGUGCUGAAGCGACAAAUGCCCUGCUUCCAGGAAAAGCCUCUAAGCAUCAGGUAACAUCAAAUCGUACCCCAAACCGACACAGGUGGUCAGGUAGAGAAUACCAAGGCGCUUGAGAGAACUCGGGUGAAGGAACUAGGCAAAAUGGUGCCGUAACUUCGGGAGAAGGCACGCUGAUAUGUAGGUGAAGCGACUUGCUCGUGGAGCUGAAAUCAGUCGAAGAUACCAGCUGGCUGCAACUGUUUAUUAAAAACACAGCACUGUGCAAACACGAAAGUGGACGUAUACGGUGUGACGCCUGCCCGGUGCCGGAAG
rnacentral:rRNA from 1 species